UAAUACGAAGGGGGCUAGCGUUGCUCGGAAUUACUGGGCGUAAAGGGCGCGUAGGCGGCGCGGUUAGUCAGGCGUGAAACUCCUGGGCUCAACCCAGGAACUGCGUUUGAUACGGCCGUGCUCGAGGAUGGAAGAGGGCCGCGGAAUUCCCAGUGUAGAGGUGAAAUUCGUAGAUAUUGGGAAGAACACCGGUGGCGAAGGCGGCGGCCUGGUCCAUUUCUGACGCUGAGGCGCGACAGCGUGGGGAGCAAACAGGAUUAGAUACCCUGGUAGUCCACGCCGUAAACGAUGUGCGCUGGAUGUUGGGCGGCCUAGCCGUUCAGUGUCGAAGCCAACGCGGUAAGCGCACCGCCUGGGGAGUACGGCCGCAAGGUUG
rnacentral:rRNA from 1 species